UACGAAGGGUGCAAACGUUGCUCGGAAUUAUUGGGCGUAAAGCGCACGUAGGCGGCUUAGCAAGUCGGAAGUGAAAGCCCUUGGCUUAACCGAGGAAGUGCAUCCGAAACUGGCGAGCUAGAGUACGAAAGAGGAUCGCGGAAUUCCCGGUGUAGAGGUGAAAUGCGUAGAUAUCGGAAGGAACACCAGUGGCGAAAAGCGGCUUCCUGGUCCAGCACCGGACGUCAGGC
rnacentral:rRNA from 1 species